rnacentral:rRNA from 1 species
GAUCAAGUGACUAAGUGCACAUGGUGGAUGCCUUGGCGAU